GUGUGUGGGGGGGGUGCAUUGUGUCUGUGUGUUUGAAGGGAUACAGUGUGUGCGUGGGGGGUACAGUGUGUGUGUAUUGAGGGGGGCAGUGUGUUUGUGGGGGCAGAGAGUAAUUGAGGGGUAUAGUGUGUGCGUGAGGGGUAUAGUGUGUGUGUGUGUAUGGGGGCAGUGUGUGUGAGGGGUACAAUGUGUGUGUGGGUGGCAGGGUGUGUAUGUGUGUAUGGAGGGCAGUGUGUGUGUGUACAGGGGGCAAUGUGUAUA